UUAAUAUUCACCAAAAAUGGAUUUUAUUAAUGACCAAGGAAUGAUGAACAACUCACAGAAAACAGCAUUUGAGAAGUUGAGAAGAUUGGCUAACAGUUCAAAGCAAGGGGUAGUCCCUGUCCAAGCUGGGUCCUAAGUAGAGGUCAUCUUCAAAUCCACAUAGUGGAUCUGACCAGUUCAUCUUACUUUCACAUCCAUGAUAUGAAGGAGUCAAUCCCUGGCUGAAACUCCUCUAGAGCAAUGACAAACAUUCAUCACAACCCAGCUGAACCUGUACCAGGACUGAUGAAAUUAAGAAGAUGACUUGAUAAAACUCACCAGGUAGCUUAGAUGUUUAGGACCAAUUGAGAGACACAAGAAGCAGAAAGGCGGAGAUGAAAAAAAUAUCUGUUUUGCCUGGCUGGUGUGGCUCAGCAAUUGAGCAUCGACCCAGGAACCAAGA